CCGCACUAAUUGGGGAGCUGGCGGUGCCCUGUACCUGCAACCCGCCUUAGCAGGGAUGAAUUCCCGCCUUCGGGAGCGCGAUGUAUCGUCUGACCCGGGUAAGCAGCGAUGAGGAGCCGGUCUUGCGCAACGGGGACCCGUGAACCAUGUCAGGCGGGGAACCGAGCAGCAUUAAGCGGGCGCUCCCGUGUGCCGCGAGGGCGCCGUCUCCGAGCCGGCUGCCCGGGGAUCGGAUAUAUCGUGUCUUUCAACGGCGGGUGUGCGG
rnacentral:SRP_RNA from 1 species